GGCUCAGGACGAACGCUGGCGGCGCGCCUAACACAUGCAAGUCGAACGAGAGAUGAGGAGCUUGCUCUUCAAAUCGAGUGGCGAACGGGUGAGUAACGCGUGAGGAACCUGCCUCAAAGAGGGGGACAACAGUUGGAAACGACUGCUAAUACCGCAUAAGCCCACGGCUCGGCAUCGAGCAGAGGGAAAAGGAGCAAUCCGCUUUGAGAUGGCCUCGCGUCCGAUUAGCUAGUUGGUGAGGUAACGGCCCACCAAGGCGACGAUCGGUAGCCGGACUGAGAGGUUGAACGGCCACAUUGGGACUGAGACACGGCCCAGACUCCUACGGGAGGCAGCAGUGGGGAAUAUUGCACAAUGGGGGAAACCCUGAUGCAGCGACGCCGCGUGGAGGAAGAAGGUCUUCGGAUUGUAAACUCCUGUUGUUGAGGAAGAUAAUGACGGUACUCAACAAGGAAGUGACGGCUAACUACGUGCCAGCAGCCGCGGUAAAACGUAGGUCACAAGCGUUGUCCGGAAUUACUGGGUGUAAAGGGAGCGCAGGCGGGAAGACAAGUUGGAAGUGAAAUCUAUGGGCUCAACCCAUAAACUGCUUUCAAAACUGUUUUUCUUGAGUAGUGCAGAGGUAGGCGGAAUUCCCGGUGUAGCGGUGGAAUGCGUAGAUAUCGGGAGGAACACCAGUGGCGAAGGCGGCCUACUGGGCACCAACUGACGCUGAGGCUCGAAAGUGUGGGUAGCAAACAGGAUUAGAUACCCUGGUAGUCCACACCGUAAACGAUGAUUACUAGGUGUUGGAGGAUUGACCCCUUCAGUGCCGCAGUUAACACAAUAAGUAAUCCACCUGGGGAGUACGACCGCAAGGUUGAAACUCAAAGGAAUUGACGGGGGCCCGCACAAGCAGUGGAGUAUGUGGUUUAAUUCGACGCAACGCGAAGAACCUUACCAAGUCUUGACAUCCCUUGACAGGCAUAGAAAUAUGUUUUCUCUUCGGAGCAAGGAGACAGGUGGUGCAUGGUUGUCGUCAGCUCGUGUCGUGAGAUGUUGGGUUAAGUCCCGCAACGAGCGCAACCCUUAUGGUCAGUUACUACGUAAGAGGACUCUGGCCAGACUGCCGUUGACAAAACGGAGGAAGGUGGGGAUGACGUCAAAUCAUCAUGCCCUUUAUGACUUGGGCUACACACGUACUACAAUGGCGUUAAACAAAGAGAAGCAAGACCGCGAGGUGGAGCAAAACUCAGAAACAACGUCCCAGUUCGGACUGCAGGCUGCAACUCGCCUGCACGAAGUCGGAAUUGCUAGUAAUCGUGGAUCAGCAUGCCACGGUGAAUACGUUCCCGGGCCUUGUACACACCGCC
rnacentral:rRNA from 1 species